AGAACGAACGCUGGCGGCAUGCCUAACACAUGCAAGUCGAACGCUUCCGGGGCUUCGGUCGCGGAGGAGUGGCGCACGGGUGAGUAGCGCGUGGGAACCUGCCCUGUUGUGGGGGAUAACCGAGGGAAACUUCGGCUAAUACCGCAUACGCCCCGGGACUUGGUCUUCGGAUUAGGUCUGGGGGGAAAGAUUGAUCGCAGCAGGAGGGGCCCGCGUCGGAUUAGCUGGUUGGUGGGGUAACGGCUCACCAAGGCGAUGAUCCGUAGCUGGUCUGAGAGGAUGAUCAGCCACACUGGGACUGAGACACGGCCCAGACUCCUACGGGAGGCAGCAGUGGGGAAUAUUGGACAAUGGGGGCAACCCUGAUCCAGCAAUGCCGCGUGAGUGAUGAAGGCCCUAGGGUUGUAAAGCUCUUUUGUGCGGGAAGAUAAUGACGGUACCGCAAGAAUAACGCCCGGCUAACUUCGCGCCAGCAGCCGCGGU
rnacentral:rRNA from 1 species